ensembl:misc_RNA 7SK 7SK RNA
GCAUGUCAGGGCAAGCUGGCGGUGGCAUCUGCUGCUCUAUUGAUUGUCAGGGUUUGUUCAAAAGCUCUGGCCAGCUGAGUGGGUGUCUCCUUUCUCCUCACCUAUCUACAUGUGUUCCCUUAAGGCUAUGCCCCAGCCAAGACACAGGAGAUCUGAAAUAAAAGUACCACCAUUCUUCAUUGCCAGGACAUUACCAGCAACUUUCCUGCUAUCCUAACACUGGCAGGACCAGACAGAGGUCAGUUUAGGGAGGGUAGAAGGAACUAGGAUGUGGGGAAUAACAUCAGAUAAUGAAAUGCUAUCCACUAAAAGGAGCAGCCUGUUCCUUUUC